CCUACGGGUGGCAGCAGUGAGGAAUAUUGGUCAAUGGUCGCGAGACUGAACCAGCCAAGUAGCGUGAGGGAGGAAGGUCCUGAGUGUUGUAAACUUCUUUUAUCAGGGAAUAAAGUGAGGCACGAGUGCCUUUUUGUAGGUACUUUAUGAAUAAGGAUCGGCUAACUCCGUGCCAGCAGCCGCGGUAAUACGGAGGAUCCGAGCGUUAUCCGGAUUUAUUGGGUUUAAAGGGAGCGUAGAGGGGUUGUUAAGUCAGUUGUGAAAGUUUGCGGCUCAACCGUAAAAUUGCAAUUGAUACUGGCAGGCUUGAGUACAGUUGAGGUACGCGGAAUGCGUGGUGUAGCGGUGAAAUGCUUAGAUAUCGCGCAGAACCCCGAUUGCGAAGGCAGCGUACUAA
rnacentral:rRNA from 1 species